rnacentral:rRNA from 1 species
AUGGCAUCACUGGUGCUUGCAGUGCUCGUGUUGCCGUCGGCAACAACUGCCGCGGUGGCCACGGCUACAAGAAAUUGCUCCGACACCUGUGGUAUGGUUGGUGAGAUACCUUAUCCGUUUGGAUUAGGUCCGUCAUGCUCUUUACCUGGUUUCAGCCUCACUUGUGCGGACAACACCAGUUACCCCAUGCUGGGCAACCUACCCAUCGAGAGCUUUGACAUCUUUGAUUCCAACAACCUGUACGCCAAUAUCUCGUACGCCUACAACUACCUGUGCGCCAGGAUCUCCUACACCGUGAAGAUGAUUCCCGGUGUCCGCGACUACUCUGUUCACUGGGAAGCUCCGGCCCGGCACUUUGCCAUGUCUGGCUCGUUAAACAUGUUGUUCGUCGUUGGCUGCGGCGUCAAGGCCUCGCUGUUCAUCGGCAACUCAACCGUUGAGGUCGGGAAUUGCUCCGUCGUCUGUGCCGAAGCUCGAAUCAUGGAGAAGCUGCCCAAGGGUGUAUGCGAUGGCAUCGGAUGCUGUUUCAUUGACAUACGGGUGAACCUAAGGGCGUUCACCCUCAACAUCUCACGCACCAGCGGUUCUGCUCGCUCGAAGGAGGUGUACGCGUUCAUCAGCGGAGGUGGUAAGGACCAAAUAUUCUGGCCGAUUGACGCCCUGAGAUCUAUGUUGCCGGAAUAUCUCGAGUACGAAUUUGCUACCCUGGAAUGGGCUAUUCCCUACAAGCUGAACUGUAAGCGCGCCAUGGAGGACAGGGCAAGCUAUGCAUGCGUUGCUAAUCACAGUGAGUGUUGCUGAAAUCUGAGGUGUAAGGACUCGUCGAUGGGUGGAUACUUUUGCGUUUGCAAGUGGGGCGACUACGGCAACCCCUACGUUGAUGCCAGGUGCCCGGAAUACGAACCACCUCCACCGCCUCCCGCUCCUCCGGCAGUCGUUUAUGACUCCAUCCAGCCGAAGAAGGAUUGUGACAUGUCGUGUGGGAACGUGAGCAUCCCGUUCCCCUUUGGAAUAAAGCUAGGCUGCUUUGCAACUGAACAAUUCUAUCUCAAAUGUCUUCGAGCCUUGCCGGGGACUGAUCUUCCGGUGCUUGAACUGAAUGGUAGUUUGGUCGUCAGUGACAUAUCUAUUGACGAAGGUAUUUUACUCGUUGACGAGAAAUUAGAGCCAAGUGAUCUCUUUUCUAAUCCGGAGACGCUCUAUGCCUUAUCUGGGAAACGGGGCGUGGUCAAGUGGGCCGUUGUUAAAAUGCCAUGCUUGCAUGCACAGCUAAAUGAGAGCGACUACAAAUGCUUGAGCUCCCACAGUGACUGCAUCGAUGUCACUGAUGAUGGAACACUCAAACUUCUAGGUUACCGCUGCAAGUGCUCUUCUGGUUUUGAAGGGAAUCCUUAUAUUAAAGAUGGAUGCACAGAUAUAAACGAGUGCCUGCAGCCAGAUAAAUACACCUGCAACGGUAUUUGCCACAAUAAUAAAUUCGGGAGCUACACAUGCACAAGCUCGGAUUCCUCGGGGCAUCAUCUAGUAUUAGGUAUCACCAUUGGACUAAGCAGUGGUGGGGGCAUUCUAUUUCUUGCUGUAUUUGUUGCUAUUCUUACACGAAGAUGGAAUCGGGCCAUUCAAAAGCGCUCGAGAAAACGGUAUUUUCGGAAGAACAAAGGCAUUCUGCUAGAACAUAUUAUCUCUUCAGACAAAAGUGCCAACGAUGGCACAAAGAUAUUCUCCCUGGAGGAUCUAGAGAAGGGAACAAACAAUUUUGAUCAAGCCCGUGUGGUCGGACGGGGUGGCCAUGGCACAGUCUAUAAGGGUAUCUUGAUCGACCAACGCGUGGUGGCCAUCAAGAAAUCAACGCUCUCGGUGAUCAGCGAGAUCGAAGAGUUCAUCAACGAGGUGUCCAUCUUGUCGCAGAUCAACCACCGAAACGUAGUGAAGCUUCAUGGAUGUUGCCUCGAAUCCGAGGUCCCUCUGCUUGUCUAUGAGUUCAUCUCCAACGGCACGCUCUACGACCUUCUGCACCGCCCCUCCGAGCAAAACAGUAGCAACUUAUUGAUGCCAUUAUCCUGGGAGAAGCGCCUGAGGAUCGCCACCGAGAUCGCGGGCACGCUCACGUACCUGCACUUUUCGGCUUCCGUGUCGGUCCUCCAUAGAGAUGUCAAGUCCAUGAACGUGCUCCUAAACGACAGCUACACCACAAAGGUCUCGGAUUUUGGUGCAUCGAGGCUGAUCCCCAUAGAUCAAACGCACCUGGUCACCGCCGUUCAGGGUACGUUUGGGUACCUGGAUCCGGAGUAUUACUACACGGGACAACUCAACGACAAGAGCGAUGUUUACAGUUUUGGAGUGAUACUUGUUGAGCUGCUGACGAGGAGGAAGCCCAUCAUCCAGAAUGAGCAUGGCGAGAAGCAGAACUUGUCAAACUACUUCUUGUGCGCCAUGAGGGAGAGGCUCCUCGAGGAAACGGUGGACGCGCAGAUCCUGGGGGGUGGAAGAGAUGAAGGGGUUCUGUGCAUGGCUCAGUUGGCAGAGGAGUGCCUCAGGCUGACUCGAGAGGAGAGGCCAACCAUGAAAGAUGUGGAGAUGAGGCUGCAGCUCCUCACAGGAUGCCGUGUUGCACUGAGGGUGAGGCAAGAAGAAGAGGCACCACCUGCGGGAGAUGACGGGCAUGGAGGGGUCAAUCUGAUAGUCGGUCAGCAUGGCUCACGUCAGUUCAGCCAAGAACAUGAGUUCGUCUCAUCUCUGCGUGUACCGCGGUAG